rnacentral:lncRNA from 1 species
AGAUAUGAAAUGGUGGACAAGUUAGAGGAAAGGUCUGUGAGAGCUCAUUUAUAAGGUAUCCCAAAAGAUGUUUGAGAUAUCACUUUCUUUUUCCUGUUGUUCACAAUGUGAUUGUGAGCAAUCAUACUAUUUUCUUAGAAAUAAUGGGAAGAUAAACUCAAAGAGAAAUCUCUAAAGAACAAUGAGUCACAGGAUCUGUACAACUUAUUUAAGAUAAGCUAGUAUAUGUAUGACUUCCUCCACCUCAUAGAUCAAGUAGGAUCUUCUAUCCUUUAGAAAGAUACUUAGUAUUCUUAUAAAAGAUUCAGAGAAAGUAUUUCUCGAGGG